AAUAAUUAUUAUUUUUUUUGUUUGGAGUAAAUUAUUUGCAGUGCAGUAGAACAACAAUGGGGAAGACAUUUGUGCCCAGCUACGUGAAUUUGUUUGUUAGACUUGUGCACAGGAAAAAUAUUGGUUUUGUCUAAAUCGAUUCAUUCGAUAAUUUUUUUUUUUUUUUUUUAAAUGUCUGAAUGUCUGACCCGUAUUCCGUCCAUGGAUUGUCUAAAUUUCAUCCAGUAAAUUCAGUAUGUUUUUUGAUUUGGACGAAUCAAAUGACAUGUACUCAAACAUGAUUUUUUUCCAAUUUUCCAAC